GGCGAACGCUGGCGGCGUGCUUAACACAUGCAAGUCGAACGGAAAGGCCCUGCUUGCAGGGUACUCGAGUGGCGAACGGGUGAGUAACACGUGGGUGAUCUGCCCUGCACUUCGGGAUAAGCCUGGGAAACUGGGUCUAAUACCGGAUAGGAGCCAUUUUUAGUGUGAUGGUUGGAAAGUUUUUUCGGUGUAGGAUGAGCUCGCGGCCUAUCAGCUUGUUGGUGGGGUAAUGGCCUACCAAGGCGGCGACGGGUAGCCGGCCUGAGAGGGUGGACGGCCACAGUGGGACUGAGAUACGGCCCAGACUCCUACGGGAGGCAGCAGUGGGGAAGAUUGCACAAGGGGCGCAAGCCUGAUGCAGCGACGCCGCGUGGGGGAUGACGGCCUUCGGGUUGUAAACUCCUUUCGCUAGGGACGAAGCUUUUUGUGACGGUACCUAGAUAAGAAGCACCGGCUAACUACGUG
rnacentral:rRNA from 1 species